rnacentral:rRNA from 1 species
CCUACGGGUGGCAGCAGUGAGGAAUAUUGGUCAAUGGCCGAGAGGCUGAACCAGCCAAGUAGCGUGAAGGAUGACUGCCCUACGGGUUGUAAACUUCUUUUAUCGGGGAGUAAAGCGAAGCAAGUGUGGCUUAUUGAGAGUACCCGAUGAAAAAGGAUCGGCUAACUCCGUGCCAGCAGCCGCGGUAAUACGGAGGAUGCGAGCGUUAUCCGGAUUUAUUGGGUUUAAAGGGUGCGUAGGUGGAAUGUGAAGUCAGUUGGUAAAUUUGGCGGCUCAACCCUGGUAUUGCAGUUGAAACUGGAAGCCGUGAGUACAGGAGAGGUAUGCGGAAGGCGUGGUGUAGCGGUGAAAUGCAUAGAUAUCACGAAGAACUCCGAUUGCGAAGGCAGCAUACUGGACCGCAACUGACACUGAUGCUCGAAAGCGUGGGUAUCAAACAGGAUUAGAUACCCCGGUAGUC